GGAUUGACGUGACGGUCAUGCCUUAAGGGGUAUGAACUGUUACUGUUGAUUUCUCACCUUCUGGCGAAGCGUCAUGGCCUUAACCGGCCGUGGCGGGGAACCAGGACUUUUACUGUGAAAAAAUUAGAGUGUUCAAAGCAAGCAAUCGCUUGGAUACAUUAGCAUGGAAUAAUGGAAUAGGACAAUGGUUCUAUUUGUUGGUUUCUAGGACCGUUGUA
rnacentral:rRNA from 1 species